GUGCCAGCAGCCGCGGUAAGACGUAGGGGGCGAGCGUUGUCCGGAUUUAUUGGGCGUAAAGCGCGCGCAGGCGGUUCGGAAAGUCGGGUGUGAAAACCCGGGGCUCAACCCCGGGCCUGCAUUCGAUACUCCCGGACUGGAGGCAGGCAGGGGAGAUCGGAAUUCCUGGUGUAGCGGUGAAAUGCGCAGAUAUCAGGAGGAACACCGGUGGCGAAGGCGGAUCUCUGGGCCUGUCCUGACGCUCAGGCGCGAAAGCUAGGGGAGCAAACAGGAUUAGAAACCCUGGUAGUCC
rnacentral:rRNA from 1 species